UACGGGGGGGGCAAGCGUUGUUCGGAAUUACUGGGCGUAAAGGGCGCGUAGGCGGCCUUCUAAGUCGGACGUGAAAUCCCUCGGCUUAACCGAGGAACUGCGUCCGAUACUGAAAGGCUUGAAUCCGGGAGAGGGAUGUGGAAUUCCAGGUGUAGCGGUGAAAUGCGUAGAUAUCUGGAGGAACACCGGUGGCGAAGGCGGCAUCCUGGACCAACACUGACACUGAGGAGCGAAAGCCAGGGGAGCAAACGGG
rnacentral:rRNA from 1 species